rnacentral:rRNA from 1 species
CCUACGGGAGGCAGCAGUGAGGAAUAUUGGUCAAUGGGCGCGAGCCUGAACCAGCCAAGUAGCGUGAAGGAUGACUGCCCUACGGGUUGUAAACUUCUUUUAUAAAGGAAUAAAGUGAGGCACGUGUGCCUUUUUGUAUGUACUUUAUGAAUAAGGAUCGGCUAACUCCGUGCCAGCUGCCGCGGUAAUACGGAGGAUCCGAGCGUUAUCCGGAUUUAUUGGGGUUAAAGGGAGCGUAGAUGGGUUGUUAAGUCAGUUGUGAAAGUUUGCGGCACAACCGUAAAAUUGCAAUUGAUACUGGUGUUAUUGAGUAGAGGAGAGGUAGGCGGAAUGCGGGGUGGAGGGGUGAAAGG